UUAAGCUACAAAGAGCGUAGGGUGAAUAGCUAGGCACCAAGAGCCGAAGAAGGACGUGAUAAGCUGCGAAAAGCUUUGGGCAGGAGCAAAUAUCCAUUAAUCCAGAGAUAUCCGAAUGAGGGAACUCACUUAGAGCAAACAAUCUAAGUAUCCAUAUAUGAGUAAAGUAGUAUAUGAGAAGGGAACGUGGGGAACUGAAACAUCUUAGUACCCACAGGAAAAGAAAGAAAAAUCGAUUCCUAGAGUAGUGGCGAGCGAAAUAGGAAGAGCCUAAACCAUGAGUAGUAAUACACAUGGGGUUCGGACCACGAUAUAUUAUCAAUAAUUCUAAUAGAAAUGUUUUGGAAAAGCAUACCAUAGACGGUGAAAGUCCAGUAUAUGAAAGAAAAGUUGAGAUUAGUGGUAUCCAGAGUAGUACGAGACACGAGAAAUCUCGUAUGAAUAAGCGGGGACCAUCCCGUAAGGCUAAAUACUACUUGGUGACCGAUAGUGAACUAGUACCGUGAGGGAAAGGUGAAAAGAACCCCGGGAGGGGAGUGAAAUAGAACAUGAAACCCUAUGUUUACAAGCAGACAAAGCACUUUAUAUGUGCGAUGUCGUACUUUUUGUAGAACGGUCCAGCGAGUUAUUGUGUAUGGCGAGGUUAAGUAUUACGUAAGGUACGGAGCCGAAGCGAAAGCGAGUCUGAAAAGGGCGAUAUAAGUCAUGCAUAAUAGACCCGAAACUGAGUGACCUAUCCAUGAGCAGGAUGAAGCUAGAGUAAAAUCUAGUGGAGGUCCGAACUGAUUGUCGUUAAAAAGGCACCGGAUGACUUGUGGAUAGCGGAGAAAUUCCAAUCGAACUCAGAGAUAGCUGGUUCUCCUCGAAAUAGCUUUAGGGCUAGCCUUGAGGGAAUACAUAUGGGGGUAGAGCACUGAAUGAGGUAGGGGCCUAACCAGGUUACCAAACUCUAUCAAACUCCGAAUACCAUAUGUAAAUACUCAGGAGUCAGACUGCGGGAGCUAAGUUCCGUGGUCAAAAGGAAAACAGUCCAGAUCGUCAAUUAAGGUCCCAAAGAUAUAGCUAAGUGGAAAACGAUGUGAUUUUGCAUAAACAACCAGGAUGUUGGCUCAGAAGCAGCCACUCAUUCAAAGAGUGCGUAAUAGCUCACUGGUCGAGUGAAGUUGCGCGGAAAAUUACCGGGGCUAAGCUAUACACCGAAAUUGCGGAUUUACAUUUGAAAGACAAUGUAAGUGGUAGAGGAGCAUUCUGUAGUAGGAAGAAGCAUGACCGUAAGGACAUGUGGACGAAGCAGAAGAGAGAAUGCUGGAAUAAGUAGCGAGAGGAUGGUGAGAAUCCAUCCCGUCGAAAAUCUAAGGUUUCCCAGGGAAGGUUCGUCCGCCUGGGGUAAGUCGGGACCUAAGGAGAGGCCGAAAGGCGUAUCUGAUGGAUAGCAGGUUGAAAUUCCUGCACUACGAAUAUACUUAAAAGAUUCAAGGGACGCAGAAGUGGAAGAUAACCAAGUAAGAGGAAAAGCUUGGCUCGCAAGAGGGAGUGAAAAUUAAAAGUAACGAAGUAUCAAGAAGCACGCUGACGAGAAAAGCUUGAAGAUAUUGUAUAUAAGUACCCGUACCGCAAACCGACACAGGUAGAUGAGGAGAGGAUCCUAAGACGAGCGGGAGAAGCAUUGUUAAGGAACUCGGCAAACUAACCCCGUAACUUCGGAAUAAGGGGUGCUGAUGUAACAGUCAGUCGCAGAGAAAAGGCCCAAGCAACUGUUUAACAAAAACAUAGGUUUCUGCUAAAUCGAAAGAUGAAGUAUAGGAGCUGACGCCUGCCCAGUGCUGGAAGGUUAAGGGAAAGAGUUAGGGUUAAACCGAAGCUUAGAACUGAAGCCCCAGUGAACGGCGGCCGUAACUAUAACGGUCCUAAGGUAGCGAAAUUCCUUGUCAGGUAAGUUCUGACCC
rnacentral:rRNA from 1 species